UACGUAGGGUGCGAGCGUUAAUCGGAAUUACUGGGCGUAAAGCGUGCGCAGGCGGUUUCUUAAGCCAGAUGUGAAAUCCCCGGGCUUAACCUGGGAACUGCAUUUGGAACUGGGAGACUAGAGUGCGUCAGAGGGGGGUGGAAUUCCACGUGUAGCAGUGAAAUGCGUAGAGAUGUGGAGGAACACCGAUGGCGAAGGCAGCCCCCUGGGAUGACACUGACGCUCAUGCACGAAAGCGUGGGGAGCAAACAGG
rnacentral:rRNA from 1 species